rnacentral:lncRNA from 1 species
AUGCGACCAUCUCGACUUGAUCCAGGACGUGUGGAGGCGAGGGCUGGGAAGCCCAGGGGUCACAACCCAGCCAAGUGCCCCUACACCACCCCGCCGCACCCUGCUCCGCCCGCCCGCCCUCAGGAAAACAUACUCGAAAAAGCCGGAGACAAAAUGAGGCGCCGCUCCUCCUCUGAAGACCUCCCCAAAUGCACUCCGGGGCAGGCGUGCGGCCUCACUUCGAAUGAGUGCCUCCCACCCAGGGGUCCAGAGCAGAUAAGUUACUCACUUGGGGUUGAGGGAGCUCCAGGAUACCGGUUCCAGGUUCUUAGCCAGUGGCGUGGCGAGCCGGCACAGCGCCCACACGACCAUCGCCACAAGCCACUUGCCGAGCCAACGCUGCCCAGGCCAGAUGAGCAGUCUCCCAGAUCCUGUAAUACAUGGAGGCGAUGGCUGGCUAGGACGCUCCUACAGACAUCAGAUGCUUGAAAAAGUCAAGAAUCCAAGGCCAAACAGGGAGAUUCCAUCAGAGAUCCCACCAGUCUCCCACAGGAAUCGGCAUAGGUGAGUCCAGUUCACAAACACUGCUGGGCCUCACCUGGGAACCUGGCAGGUGUUAGGACUUGAGACUUAAAGAGAUGAGAGAGACACCAAAGUCACUUCCCCUCACCACAAGCAUGUUUGAGUAGAGGGUUCACCAGCCCGAGCCUCACCCUUGUCCAUGGCUUCCGCGAAACAUUUUCUCUCUCCAACCUGGUGACCUUGGAGGAAACUGAGGCAGGCCACUCUUACUUUCUCCCAUCCCCAUGGAAGCCACUCACCUGAGACGCUCUUUCAGUCACUCAGUUCUUAGUAGCUGUUGCUAUGAAGAGUCUGCUUGGGCUAGUAAGGAAAAGAGCCCACUGUGGGGGUCUGAGGUGGUCCAACCGUCCUCUCCUUCCCUUGCCUCCUCGUACCAUUCGGGUUUUAAUGAGGCCCCGGCUUGGAGUUGACAACUCUGAAAAGCAGCGAGCCCAAUCAGACUCCCAGGCAUAUUCUGCAAGGAUUCGAGCUUGCAGGUUUCAGGAUGGACUUUCCAUGGACACUUUAUCAGGGGUUUUAUUUCCAAAGGGGAUGACUGGUAACACCUGCUUUUAAAAAUGUCCAGGCUGAGAUUACUGUAGCUAGGCAAUAAGGUCCAGGACUCUGUGACUGUGAUUACCCAUUUUUCCUCCUGUUGGUGCAGAACAGAACAGCUUCCUGCAGGAAAUUUCAGCCCUGCCAGCGGGGCCUUCCAGGACCCACUGCUGGGCAGGAACACAGUGGUCUUCCUCGCAGAGGUGUGUGUGCCCUCGCUGGGCAACUCAGCUUUCAUCAGCAGCUGACAAUCUUCCUUAUCAACCCAGUUGAUUGCUAAGGCUGGUGGGUGUGCACGUAUUGCACGGAGCCUGUCACACAGAAUAUUUGCACUCCAGGAGCUCAUUAGGGAAGAUGGACUAAGGUGCUGCCACCUAGCAUACAGCAAAACUCCACUUCCGGAAAUAAUGUUUCCAGAAGUCUCGCCUGAAGGUGUGCAGCAAAUUUUCUUGACACCCUCCAUGACCCCUUGGAUUAAGUCAGGCCACUGGAGUCGAUGGUCCCCAGAUAGGCAUUGUGGGGGCACACUCCACCCCUGUAGGUCAGCAGAG